GCCAUACCUGCUUGCCAAUGUUCGACCUCAUCAGAUCUCAGAACGCUAAGGAAGGGCCGGCGUGGUUAGUACUUAGAUGAGAGACCGCAGUGAAUACCAGGUGC
rnacentral:rRNA from 1 species